CUCCGCUUAGCUCAGCUGGAAGUAGCGCAAGACUGUAAUAUCAAUCAGAUAAUCUUGAGGUCGCCUGUUCGAUCCAGGCAGCGGAGA